GGAUUAGGUUUUACCUGCAUUGUGACUGUUGGUCUUCUCCUUCUCUCAAAUGUGCUCACGGCGGAGAUGAACUCUCCUCCAAUCUCCGACUCGAUUUCACUCUCUCCGCCACCGAAAUGAACACCUAAUCGCGACCUCUCCACUCACGAAUAAGUCACAGCGGCGGCCGGAGGCAAGAUUCCCCGAUUCAUCUCGCCGCGAACACCAUGACUCAACCCUCUAUCCAUUCGGAUGAACAGCGUGACUCGAGCUUCAUCUCUGGAGAGCCUUUUCAAUCUCCACCGCAAGCUCUCUCUCACGAUCUCCUUCUUCGUUGAGAUUUCGUUCCUGUUUUGAAGCGCUAUCGUGAGUUAGUGACGAUGACCGUUGUUGAUACUUGAUUUCUGCAGGUGAUUAGAGAUGAUGAUGAUUGAAGGGAGACGACGCCUGUGCGAUUGAAGCGUGAAGAUGAAAAGGACUUGGAGAUUGAUACGUUGAUGAAGAAGGUGAUGGAGGCUUCGGUUAGAGGCUGCGUUAAGAGCUGAACGAUGGCUCUGGGGUGAUGAAGAUUGAGUGUGAAUUGAGAGAGAAAAUUCAGAGAAUUUGUUACAUUUUUCCGGGCAGAUGGUUAAAAGCUUGCUUGAUUAUCGGGUGGACUUUGGACGGUGAAGCUGUUUGUUAUUUGUUGUGGCAGGUAUGAUGCUGUUUGGAUGACUUGAACGUGUUCUCGAUCCGACGUACACUUAACCAAAGGUGCAAGAUGUUUUUUAACUGAACUGAACACUGUUACGACUUGGCUUUUGGAUGUAGGCUUGCAAUGCGCUGUAGAGUCGGUUGGCACAUGAAUGGUACAUAUCUGGAUAUAGCUUUGAUGCAAUAAAACUGAACCAUGUACUAAGUACUGGGGCUGGUGGCUUCCGGUUCGGGUGUUCUUGUGUGAGACCCGGUUUCUCUUGAUGUGCAUCAAGACAUCUUUGGAUCAUACAUCCAAAAGGAGGACGCGUUGUAUUGCUUGACAUGAUGAUAGAUGAAGGUGAAGAAGCUUUAGACACCAUAGGCUCACGUGCAUUUUUGUGUAAUUUCUAUGUAAUAGUAUAGUGAUGCUGGUGGUGUAAUAGUAUAAUGAUAUGUAAUAUGGUUUGGCCAUGAGAUGUAUCUUGGAAUUGUAAUGAAUCGGUCCUUAGAAUAUGUAUAUUUUUGUGGAAAUGGAUUCUUGCACAUGGAAGUGUAUAGUGAAGGAAUGCGUUUAGAAAUGUGGAAAUGGAUUCUUGCACAUGGAAUG